rnacentral:rRNA from 1 species
UCUUUAUAUAAAAAUAGUAUAAUAAAUAUUAUUUUUAUAUAAUUUUAUUAUUUUUAUAUUUUAUUGGGGCGAUAAAAAAAUUAUAUAAACUUUUUUAAAUUUUUAUAAAAAUAAUUAAAUAAAUGAACUAAAAAUUUUAGUAAAAAAUUAAGU